rnacentral:misc_RNA from 1 species
UGCUGCGACCUCCAAGUCUGC